AUUGAACGCUGGCGGCAGGCCUAACACAUGCAAGUCGAGCGAGCGGCGGACGGGUGAGUAAUGUCUGGGAAACUGCCUGAUGGUGGGGGAUAACUACUGGAAACGGUAGCUAAUACCGCAUACAAUCAGAUGUGCCCAGAUGGGGGUAGCUAGUAGGUGGGGUAAUGGCUCACCUAGGCGACGAUCCCUAGCUGGUCUGAGAGGAUGACUAGAAAAAGUGGAACUGAGACACGGUCCAGACUCCCACGAGAGGCAGCAGUGGGGAAUAUUGAACAAUGGGCGAAAGCAUGAUGCAGCCAGGCCGCGUGUGUGAAGAAGGCCUUCGGGUUGUAAAGCAUUUUCAGCGGGGAGGGGUUACCCGCAGAAGAAGCACCGGCUAACUCCGUGCCAGCAGCCGCGGUAAUAC
rnacentral:rRNA from 1 species